GUCAACUACCCCUCCCUAACUGAAGUAAAUGCUUCAGUUGAGGAAGGAGCUUGUAUCUAUAAGACAGGUUUUUGGUUGACCAGACCACUGGAUACGGGUUAUAUAUGUCAAAAAGAAAUCCAGUAAACGAUACCGGAGAAUACACCAGUAGUCACCCUGGGAUGCCGCCUCAGUCCCUUGCUCUGAGAAUGCAGUCUAAACAGUUCUGGAAGGGUAGGAACAGUGACUGUACUUUUAAACCUCCGGUACUCCGGUCGAGAGGAAGUCGGAAAUCAGGACUGAACCGA
rnacentral:sRNA from 1 species